AUCAAACUGUGAGCAAUAAAAACAUUGUAAUGAAGCCAAAAAAAGUAAAAGAUGACAAUGAAAUUAAUAAAAAAGUCAUAAUAAAUUACAUAAAAAAUUAUCAGAAAGUAAACUGGGUGUGAAGUCUAAAGAAAGAAGGAUAAGAAGUACUCCUAUAAUGUCGGAAGGAAUCAAGGUCAAAACAAAUGUAACAGUCAUGAAUACUUUACCCCCCAACAACAAGAAACAAUACUUCAAGGGUAAAAAUGGAAUUUUGAACCUUAUACCAGAGUAGGGAAAACAUGCACUGUUUUGCCUUCUAUAGGCAUUAUAUAAAACCACUCCCACUGCUCCUCUAUUUUAAUCCCACACUAUGAAUAAAAAGGAAAGAUGACAUUUUUAAAUUUUAUUUAACAUUUUUAAAUACACUAAACUUUAUUUUUCAACUAUCAUAUUACAAGACUGAUGAGUCCCAAACCCCUAUCAAGGAUGGAGGAAAGUGUUUAAGGAAAAUAAGUAAGAUUGGAGGGAGGUUUCUUGACCUUCUUCUAUUAGUGUGCUUAGUUUUUGUCUUAGAUAAAUUCUAGACUCAUGUUUGUGUCUUGGGUUUUGUAGAUUUGAUAGUAGCACCUCCCCUUUUAAUGUUGUCACCUUUUAGAGGAAUGAAGGGCUUCAGAGGAAGCUAGACCAAGGGAGUGUACUCA
rnacentral:lncRNA from 1 species